rnacentral:rRNA from 1 species
GUUACGUACGGGACAGGAGUGGGGGUAAUACGGAGGUGGCAAGCGUUAGCCGGAUUUAUUGGGCGUAAAGCGAGGGCAGGCGGUUUUUUAAGUCUGAUGUGAAAGCCCUUGGCUUAACCGAGGAAGUGCAUCGGAAACUGGAAAAAUUGAGUGCAGAAGAGGACAGUGGAACUCCAUGUGUAGCGGUGAAAUGCGUAGAUAUAUGGAAGAACACCAGUGGCGAAGGCGGCUGUCUGGUCUGUAACUGACGCUGAGGCUCGAAAGCAUGGGUAGCGAACAGGAUUAGAUACCCUGGUAGUC